rnacentral:lncRNA from 1 species
CCAAAAGCACUUGGGGGCACUGGGCCCAGUGCAAGAUCCCUCAUGUGAGAGGUAAAACAUUCAUUAUCUGGCCCCUGAGUAUUCAGAUCAAACAUAGCCUGCUGCAUACCCAUCUCCCAGAGUACCUGCACCAAGUCAGUAGAUGAUUGCCAUUUACUCACAAUUUCUGGUAUCUCUCCAACAUCAUUCCAAACAGUUAAUAUGGCUGUCAUCAGCCACUUGGUUAACAUGUGGUCACCUUGCCCUUGUGCCAACCAUUGGCACAGCUGCAGCUGCUGAUGAAGGGAGGGGUGAGAUGUGAUAGAAGCCAGCUUCUCCAUCACGGAGGCAGAGUAAGAAAUGCUGUCAGUCCCCUCAUCCCAAAGAUAGAGUAUCCAGGCUAGGAGGGCCUCCCCUGGGUGCUGCCAGCACUGUUUACCCAUAUCCUGCAACUCAGUGAGGGUAUAAGCACAAUAAGAGGUGUGGUCCACCACUGUGGGUGGUCCCUGGGCUGUCCCAUGGGGUCCCAUCGGCUGCUCAUGUUCUAUCUUCUGAUGGAUCACAGGACGAGCCCAUAGCAAAAGAGCCUCCUCCUCCUCAGGAUCAGGCCACGCAGGAGUGUCCAGCCUGGAGGACGGGCUCAGGGUUGCACCAACAGCUGUUGCCAACUCCUGCUCCAGGAUGUUUAUCUGAGCCUGUAAGUGCCCUGCUUGUGACUGGAGGUCCUUCACCCUCCAGGUUUUGCUCCAAGCUGUGCAUUUGGGCCCCCAGGCACCCAACUUGCACCUGAAGCUCCCAAACCUGCACCGCGUCCAGCAGGGACUGAGCAUGUACUUCACGUAGCACAGUCAGAAACGCCCAUCCGAUUCUGCUGGCGAAGGUGAGGUCUUUCUUGGUGCUGUGAGCUUCCAGCUGCUUCAGUGCCUUCUCACACUCACAGGAGACCCAUCCACUGCCUCCCACAUUUCCACUGGGGCCCAUUCAAGCAGCACCUCUGACACUAGGUACCACAGCCCAUCUGCGGCCACGUAGCCAACCUGAGAACCCCAAAGGCUGACAACCCACUCACCUCAUCAUGCCAACUACGCCAACUGUCAGGUUCAGGGUUAGGUUCCAGCCCAAGUUGAGGGCUGAGGGGAGUGGGUGGACAUGAGACAUGAGGCAAGGAGCUGGAAGAACACUCAAGAGACAGUAGGUAAAUGAGACAUGGCUUUAUUUAGCAACCCCUCACAGGGUCAGUGUUACAUUAAUACACUACACAAACAAUAGUGGCUGGGAGCUGGGUGGGGAGCUUCUCUAUGUUGUGUCUACACGGCUAUGAUUAUAUAAGACAUGGGACUGUGCAGCUGUGCCCCAAUCCCACUGAAUAAACAAGGCUGUUUACCCUGGCCUAUGCCUGCUGCCCAAUGCCUGCUUGGCUGUAGCACAGCCAUGUUCCUUAUAUAAAUUUACCAAAAUAUCAGCAAUUUAUAUUCUAAUACAGUAUGAUAGUUAUCUUUAAUAUUCAUGUGUUACUUUGGUUUAAAAAAUUUUUAAAGGAAAGAUUGGUUUUAGAACACAAGUAAAGUUUAAAUGGAAUCUACCAUCAGAUAACUUGCUCUCAGCUUGGAAAACCCUGGUGUUCCUUCUCCAUGGCACCUAAUAUUGAUCACGUGUCACUUAUUUUAUUCCAUAAGCUAAGUUAAGAAGGAAUUCUGAUCCUACAUCAUGGCUAUCCCCAUGUUAUUUAUACUUUAGGAAGCAAGGUACAUGUGGAAUUAUUUUCACACUAAUGCAGACCAAUUUUUUGUGUUUUUAGGAUAUGCCAAGCACACCUUUAUAAAUGAGAAUUUCUUAUAAUUAAUGAUUCAAACAACAAUAAGACAUCACCAAUAUGUAAUAAAGUAUGACUUGGCACAAGCUACAUUUUUCUCCUUUGGAGACAGAAAUGCAUAUUGACAGGUUCAUCUUUUUUAAAAAGACCAGCAUUUAAAUAUCUAAAGUCACCAAAUAAUCUCUACACAAUAAAAAAUAAGUUGUAAGAAUUGCAUGUGAAAGAAAGUCAACUUCUAAACAAAAAGCCCACCACUGUAACUGCCCAACAGCUUCACCUUGCUUGCUGCCUAGACAGAGCCAGAUUUAUCAAGAUGGGAAUUCCAAUAGGGAAAGAGUUAUUUAUGCAGAGCUGUCUGUGUGGGAGACCAGAGUAUUAUUAUUACUCAAAUCGAUCUCUGAGAACCCAGGGAUCAGAGUUUUUAAGGAUAAUUUGGUAGUUAGGGCACCAGUGAUGUGGGAGUUUAAUUGGUAAGGUUGAAAAUGAACUUAUAGGUAGUUGAAAGUGUCCUCUAGCGCUAAGUCAGUUCCUAGGUGGGGCCACAAGACCAGAUGAGUCAGUUUAUCAGUCUGGGUGGUGCCAGCUGAUCCAUCAGGUGCAGGGUCUGCAAAAUAUCUCAAGCACUGAUAUUAGGUUUUACAAUAGUGAUGUUAUCCCUGGGAGCAAUUUGGGACAUUUAGAAUCUUGCAGCCUUCAGCUGCAUGACUCUUAAACCAUAAUUUCUCAUCUGGUGGCUAAUCUGUUAGUCCUACAAAGGCAGUCUAAUCCCCAGGCAAGAAGGGGUUCGUUUUGGGAAAGGGUUGUUAUAUCUUUGUUUCAAACUAUAAAGUAAGUUUCUCCCAAAAUUAGUUUCACCUACACCCAGGAAUAAACAAGAACAGCUUGGAGGUCAGAAGCAAGAGGGAGUUGGUUAGGUCAGAUCUCUCUCACCGUCUCAGUUAUAAUUUUGCAACGGUGAUUUCACAAUCACCACUGAAAUAUCAUGAUUAAAUAUGUGCUAAAUAGCAAUGACAGAUGCAGACACUUUCUAAAAUAAAGCAAAACAAGGAUUUCAGGAAUGUAUAAUUUAAUUUGCAUCUUAGGGGGUAUAUUGUUAUCUUCCUGCUAAGGAAUUUACAUUCAUAACUUGCCAUGCACAAUUACAAUAUAGAGAGGUCUUGGAUGUUUUUGUUAGUAUUUCUUAAAAAAAUAACACAAAACAUAGAACAAUAACUUCAUAAUGCUGACCACAGUAAGCAAAUCAUUUGGAAUGCCUCUCUUGUCAUGUUAGCAAAGUAAAUAAUGAAUUUGCAAAUUCCAGAGAUUUCUGGGAUUACAGUCGUACUAAUGUUUUGGCCCAGGGUCCCUGCUGGCUCAUACCUUUUCAAGUCAGUGUUUUUGUAGUCACUAUUCCUUCCCACAUAAAUACUUGCACACAGUGAAACAAUGAGACUCCUGGCAUACCCAUAGGCUUUCUUAAUUCUUCUUUUUUUGUUCUGUUUCUGCUUUCCAGCUAAAUGACCGAAAAGGGAUGUUUUACUGUGGAUUCUUGGCUCCCCUACCUUUUAAAUAAUUUUUUUCUUCUUUCUUCAUUUUAACAUAGAUGUUUUUAAAGCUAAACAUUUAUCUUUUCUUUGAAAUUGCCUUUUCAAUUCAUUACAUUGCUGUAUGUUGAUUUCCAUUCUCAAGUCUGUUCUCAGACUAAACAUGGUACACAAUGUUUUGCUAGAAGAGUGGGGUACAAUAUUAUUCAAACUUUAUCCUUCAUCAUUUAUUAUCACUAAUGUACUGAUUUCCUUAAUUAAGCCCUCCCCAGUGGAUCACCUUGUUCACAGUCUUCUAGAGCUGUACUGUUCAAUAUGGUAGCCACUAGCCCCAUGUGGCUUGUAUCUAGAUAAUUUAAAUUUAAAGUAAUUACGUUACCAGAAAGGUGGUUCCAAUCCAGACCCCAAGGAAGGCAGUUCUUGGAUCUCAUGCAAGAAAUAAUUCUGAGUGAGUCCAUAGAGUAAAGUGAAAGCAAGUUCAUUAAGAAAGUAAAGAGAUAAAGAAUAGCCACUACAUAGGCAGAGCAGCCCUGAGGGCUGCUGGUUGCCCACUUUUAUGGUUAUUUCUUGAGCAUAUGCUAAACAAGGUGAGAGACAGGACUAGCUGGAUUUCCUGGGCCGACUAAGAAUCCCUAAGCCUAGCUGGGAAGGUGACCACAUCCACCUUUAAACACGAGGCUUGCAACUUAGCUCACACCUGACCAAUCAGAGAGCUCACUAAAAUGCUAAUUAGGCAAAAACAGGAGGUAAAGAAAUAGCCAAUCAUCUAUUGCCUGAGAGCACAGCAGGAGGGGCAAGGAUGGGGAUAUAAACCCAGGCAUUUGAGCCAGCAACAGCAACCCCUUUGGGUCCCCUCCCUUUGUAUGGGAGCUCUGUUUUCACUCUACUUCAUUCUAUUAAAUCUUGCAACUGCACUCUUCUGGUCUGUGUUUGUUAUGGCUGGAGCUGAGCUUUCGCUCGCCAUCCACCACUGUUGUUUGCCGCUGUCACAGACCCGCCACUGACUUCCAUCCCUCCGGAUCCAGCAGGGUGUCCGCUGUGCUCCUGAUCCAGCGAGGCGCCCAUUGCCACUCCCGAUGGGGCUAAAGGCUUGCCAUUGUUCCUGCAUGGCUGAGUGCCUGGGUUUGUCCUAAUCGAGCCGAACAGUAGUCACUGGGUUCCACAGUUCUCUUCUGUGACCCACGGCUUCUAAUAGAGCUGUAACACUCACCACAUGGCCCAAGAUUCCAUUCCUUGGCAUCCGUGAGGCCAAGAACCUCAUGUCAGAGAACACGAGGCUUGCCACCAUCUUUGAAGCGGCCCGCUGCCAUUUUGGAAGCGCCCAUCACCAUCUUAGGAGCUCUGGAAGCAAGGACCCCCCGGUAACGAAGAGUUGGUCGAAUCCAAAGAUGGGGAGCCUGUGGAUACUGAAGGCCAACUGUACUACAGGUCAGAAAUUCUUUGUUCCUUAAUCAAUGUAGCAAAUGUAAAAUGUAUUAGGUAGAAUGUGUUGAUUAAUGUGCAGGUGAAAACUAGAAUAACAUAUUAAGAUUAUGCAUCAAUAAGACCACAUUACACAAAAGGGAAAAUAAAACAUUUAUGUGAUAUACUUACAUUUCCUGCCUGUGAUUAAAACUCUGCUUGUUUCUUGUAAACAAUCCUGGGCACUACUGAAGCUCACUUAGUCCUAAAUUUGUCACACACUGUGAUGGUUUUGAUAUGAUUUGGUUGUCUCCAUCAAAUCUUGUGUUAAAAUUUGAUCCCCAAUGUGGUGGUAUUGGAGGUGGGGCCUAGUGGGAGGUGUUUGGGUCUUAGGGGCAGAGCCCUCAUGAAUGGCUUGGUUCCUUUCUUGAGGUAGUGAGCUCUCACUGUCUUGACACUGGAUUAGUUCCCCUGGCAAUAAAUUAGUUACUGAGUGAGUGGGUUGUUAUAAAGCCAGGAUGCCCUUCAGAUUUGCUCUCUCCUCACACAUGUUUUUCCCUUAAUCUUCUCUGCCAUGUUUGGACACAGCACAAAAGCCUUAUCCAGAAGCCAAGCAGAUGCCAGUGCCAUGCUUUCUGUACAGCCUGAAGCACCAUGAACUAAAUAAUCCUCUUUUCUUUAUAAAUUACCCAGUCUCAGGGACUCCUUUAUAGCAAAGCAAAACAGACACACACCCACUAUGUGCAAGUUGAUGAUUUAUACAUUUUGUUGCAGGAGGGGUAUUUUCAGGUUUUGUGAGGUCUUGAAACUUAGACAAUUUGCAAAGCGCUUAAAAAAAGAAAACCCAAAUUGCAAGUAUAUAAAACAACGAUUAUAUGAAUACUUUGGCAAGACAUCUUGCAGAAUUUUGGGAGGAGCCUGUGCAAGCAAGGAGCCGUGAAGUUUUGUCUUGUUUGAUUUUUAUGUUUUUUUUUCUGAUGGUUCAUCCUGAAAAGCCCUGAAGUUUAAGCUUUACUAGUUUACUGUAAAGCCAUAUAUGAAUAUGAGACAGAAUGUAACAAAGUGCUAUGUUGAUACAGCAGGAGGAAAUAACAAUUAGUGGAAGGACUGGAAAUGGCAUUUUCAUAGAAAAAGGACUAGAAAGAAAUACUUCAUAAUGUUAAAAUAGUAGCACUUACUCCUUUUUUGUUGUUUUUUGAGACAAAGUCUUGUUCUAUCACCUAGGCUACAGUGCAUGGCAUGAUCAAAGCUCACUGCAGGCUUGAACUCCUGGGCUCAAGUGAUCCUCCCACCUCAGCCUCCUGAGUAGCUGGGAGCCCAGUGGUAAGAUACCAUGCCUGGCUAAUUUUUUCCUUUUUUUUUCUUUUUUUUUUUAGUUUUUGUUAGAGACAGGGUCUCUCUGUGUUACCAGGCUGGUCUCAAACCCCUGGACUCAAGCAAUCCUCCCACUUUGGUCUCCCAAAAUGCUGGGAUUACUGGUGUGAACCACCACACCUGGCCAAUGUUUAUUCUUUCUUUGUUUGUUUGCUUUUCUUUCUUUUUUCUUUUUCUUUCUUUUACUUUUAUUCUCUCUUUUUUUUUUUUUUUCUGAGACAGAAUCUUGUUCUGUUGCCCAGGCUGGAGUGCAGUGGUCUGAUCUCAACUUACAGUAGCCUCAGCCUCCCAGGCUCAAGUGAUCCCCCCACCUCAGCCUCCUAAGUAGCUGAGAUUACAGCUGUGUGUCACUGUGUCCAGCUAAUUUUUUAAGAAAAAUUUUUGUAGAAACAGAGUCUCACUAUGUUGCCCAGGCUGGUUUCAGACUCCAGGGCUCAAGUGAUCCUCCUACCUUGGCCUCCCAAAGUGCCAGGAUUACUGGUGACCAGUGCUUACUCUUGACAUGAGAAAUUUGUUAGGGCAAGGAAGUUGUUUUCAUAUUUUACUUUCAUAUUUCUCACAACUUUUAUAGUGAAAACAUGUUGCAUAACUUGUGUUUAAAAAUAGUCUGCCUAUUUUUUUAAUACACCCUCAUACACACAAUGCAGGGGUGGGGAGUGGUGAUGUUUGAACUAAACAUUCAAGACUGGCUUGAUAGUAAAAGAUGGGAAAGUUUUUUAGUCAGUCUGAGAUGCCGUAACAAAAUACCAUAGAAUGGGUGAUUUAAAAUCAGACAUUUGUUUUCCACAAUUCUGAAAACUGGGAAGUGCAAGAUCAGGGUGCCAGCCUGGUGGGUUUGUGGUGAGAGCUCUUCACCUGGUUUGCAGAGGGCUGCCUUCUGGCUGUAUCCUCACUUGACUAGGGUAAGGAGCAAAUUAUCUGGUUUCUUUUUCUAGGGCACAAAUCCCAUCAUGAGGAUGGUACUUUUGUGGCCUCCUGUCAAGCUAAUUACCUCCCAUAUACCCCAUCUCUUAAUACCAUCACAUUGGAGGUUAUAGUCUCAACAUGUGAAUUUUAGGGGGAACACAAACAUUUAGUCCAUAAUAGUGAGGUCCAAUCCUGAAGGGGAAAAUAGAAGGUGCAACUAUAUGGAAGUGAAAGGUGAAUCAAAUGUUUGAGCAUCUGUUAUUAAUAGAAGGCAGUCUGUUUUCAUGUCUGAGUGGUUUCAUAUAACAACGCUUUCCACCCAGUAUAAUGUAACCCACAUCUACAAGCUCAUAUCUUGGCAUUCUAGGAAGAAAAGAAGUUGUGAUCGUCCAAAAUAUAUUAAAACUUAAAAUAUAAUUUAAUAAUUACUUAUAUAAAAUGUAAAAUGCAAGUCUUCACGCUGGAACCAAAUAAAAGAAAUUCACUGCGUGUUCUUAUAGACAUAGACUCCAGUCCCUGUGUCAGGGUGAAACCUUUUCAGGUGUUUAUUUUUCUUUCAUUAACAUCAAAUAAAGAAAGAUAAUAAAAAAAUGCAAGUUUUAGAGUUUAGGUGAAUGGAUAUUUUGGAUAGUGUUUAUUGAGUAUCUUUUGUUAAAUUUAUAGGACUCUUUCCGUAUACCUUGUGAAUUCUAAGUUUUUCUCUAGAGCUGUUUGCUUUGUAGUUUGCAUGGUUCUAGAACCAAAACAAGCAUUGUAAAUCAAGACAAUGUAUUUCAGCCUAACAGAUCUUCCAGGGAGUUCCUGCUGAAAGAGCCUAUCAAUGAAUAAAUCAAUAUGCCACCGUAAUCAUAGGAAUGGCCUCCCUGAGUCUCUUGAUUAAAGGUUUAACAGCUUCAGUUGUCUUUGUUCUGGAACACUGAUAUUCCACAAGCAGAAUCAAGAUUUCAACUCUAAAAAGUCAUUUUACUAACAUUUAAAAAAUAUUUACUUUGUAAAAGAUACUUUACUGCAUUGAUAAUACAAAAUAAUAAAAAUAUAUCCUCCAACAACAGAUUUCUCCAAGAAGUCAGUCUUAGUUGAGAAACAGAAUAAGUAGACAGUUAUGGAAUAGUAUAAGAAGUUCUGUGGUAGAAAUUAGCACUCUGUGUUUCUACAACCAAGUAUACAAGUGAGCUUGUCAGGCAAAGGAAUAUGUAAAGUAAGAGUAAAAAUCUAAUGAGAAAAUUAAAAAUAAUAUGAGUUGACCAUAUUUUUAAAAUAUUACUCCUGACAAUCAUGGUUUUAUGUAACAUAUUUAUUGUGUAUUCGUAUUUUUGCAGGAAAUUGUUCCCAGUUCAAAAAAUAGAAUUAACCUUUUUAACACAUUUCAGUACUCACUAAAGAACAUAGUGUUCCACUGAAAACGUCACUAACUCUAGCUGUUCCCACCAAUUCUAUUCAAACUGGAAUUGUAAAACUCUUUUACUAACUCACAGGUUUCCAAAAAAUGUAUAUAUAAUCCAAACAGCAUAUGUUUUGCUUUAUGCUUUUCCCUGCUUCCAUUAGAAAUUCUUUUUCACAAAAUAAAUUAUGAUUUUUAUCAUUUUAUUGAAAACAAAUGACAAAUCUCACAGUCCAUGAGCCACGAUAUUUCACUAAAAAAAAUUCCACUGGGUAUGAGUCUUCCCCUAAGACAUUUAUCUUGAGCACCAAUCAGCGUGACUCCACUUUCAUCAAACCCACCAUGCAGCAAAGCAUAGUUCAAUCUUACUCUUUUCUUUCUCCUUUUCCAUACAAAGUAGGUUUCUUUUUAUCCUGAAAUGUAGAAGGCCAGAAAAUAGAAUACUCAUUUAUACCACAGAGAAAGCUUAUUAAAUAUCUUCCCAAAUAUUAUCUGUUAGGAUAAUAACUUCUUCCUAUAUCAUUAUACGAUGAAGCCUAAUUUAAUUAAACUCUCUAAAUAUAUAGAACUAUAUAACCCUAUAGCUCUAAUAGUAUUAAAGGAAAGAAAUAAUAAUAGCUAAUAGUUAAUGAAUAUUUAUUAUGUGCCAGGUAUAAUAUUAAUAGCUUUAUAUAUAUAUAUAUAUAUAUAUAUAUAUAUAUAAAAAAAAUGCCAUUUAGUCCUAAAAAUAAUCUUAUGAGUUACAUAAGAAGGUGGUGAAGAUGAAAUUUUACCCAGAGGCUCCAGUUCCAAAGCACAAUUAAUUACUUUACUAGAGUGUCUCAGCCAGUAACUGGACCCUCAGCUGUCUUCUAAUUUAGUAGGUGAUAGUAGCACAAAAUUACAUGGAUUAACAAAGUAAAUGUUUAAUAUCUAGCACUUCUACAUAAGUUCUCUGCACCCUUGUACAGAAAAGUUGUUGAACUAGAUAAGCAGUCGGGUUAGAUAAGUACCAAAAAAGAAGACAUGACAAUUCAUGUUAUCUACAAUAUUUGUCAUUAAAAGAUAGUUUUUUUUUUCACUUCCUUAUGCCAUUUAACUAAUAUGUGACAUCUUGCAAUUAAGACAAGGACAUGCUUUUAAAUUGUCUUCUGUCUUUCAAUUUCUGACAUAAUUCUUCACAAAUGAAAAAAUGUGUAACUAUCAGAGAAGGAAAAGGAUGGAUGAAGACGAGUGGAGAGAUGAAGACAAUAGUGGAGUCAGGAGAAAGAAAUAACAGUAAACAUAAGCAUAGUUAUCAUUUGUUCAACUAUUUUCCUUAGACCAUGCCCCUCCAGACCUUUAUAAUUUAGUCCCAGUCAAGCAAAGCAGUGCUUACAAUUUUCAAAAGAAGAAAUCAUAAUGUCCAAAGGAUAUUUGAAAAAAAAUGUUUUUCUCACUUGUAAUCAAGGGAACAAAAUAACACAUGAGAUCCAUUUUAUAUGAAUCAGAUUGGCCAAAAAAUUGAUAAAUAUUUAAUAAGGCAAGGGUGUGGAGAAAACAGAAAUUCUUAAACAUUGGUAGGAACAUAAAUUAACACACUUAUUAUGGAGAACAAUUUAUGAUUAUCUAAAAUUGAAAAGGCAUAAACCCUAUGAGCCAACAUUUCCACGUAUAAUAUACUAUUGAGCAACACUCCCACAAAGGAACAAAGCUAUGUGUAUGAAACAUUUUUGAAAAAAUUGUUAGUAAUAGUAAAAAAUUAAAAACAAAAUAGUCAACAGUUGUUACCUUCGAUUUAGCAAAUAGAUAUAUUGUUCCUAUGUGCUGGCCAUAUUCUGAAGUGUUGAUAACUUCUUUGAUCCUCAUAGCAGCUCCAUGAUGUAAGUACAGUUAUCAUCUCCAUUUUAUAGAUGAGGAAACCGAGAUGCAGAGAGGUUUCCUGAAGGCUCAACAGCAAUAAAUACCAUAGCAACAGCAAGGACGAUGCUACGCUGCUUCCCAUACAUUAGAGAAUUAAAUAACUUGUAAGAUAUUAUAUAUUAUCAACAAUAGAUCUUGAAAACGCUGAAGAGAGAAAAGGCAAGUGUAUUAGUCCAUUUUCGUGCUGCUGAUAAAGAUGUACCCAAGACUGGGAAGGAAAAGAAGUUUAAUUGGACUUACAGUACCACAUGGCUGAGGAGGCCUCAGAAUCAUGGCAGGAGGCACAAGGCACUUCUUACAUGGUGGCAGCAAGAGAAAAAUAAGGAAGAAGCAAAAGUGGAAACCCCUGAUAAACCCAUCAGAUCUCAUGAGACUUAUUCACUAUCAUGAGACUAGGAUGGGAAAGACUGACCCCCAUAAUUCAAUUACCUCCCACUGGGUCCCUCCCACAACAUGUGGGAAUUCUGAGAGUUACAAUUCAAGUUGAGAUUUGGGUGCGAACACAGCCAAACCAUAUCAUUCCGUCCCUGGUCCCUCCCAAAUCUCGUUUUCACAUUUCAAAACCAAUCAUGCCUUCCCAACAGUCUCCCCAAAUCUUAACUCAUUUCAGUAUUAACCCAAAGUCUACAGUCCAUAGUCUCAUCUGAGAUAAGGCAAGUCUCUUCUGCAUAUAAACCUGUAAAAUCAAAAGCAAGCUAGUAACUUCCUAGCUACAAUGAGCGUAUAGAUAUUGGGUAAAUACAGCCAUUCCAAAUGGGAGAAAUUGGCCAAAACAAAGGGGUUACAGAGUCCAUGUAAGUCCAAAACCCAGCAAGGCAGUCAAAUUUUAAAGCUCCAGAAUGAUCUCUUUUGACUCCAGGUCUCACAUCCAGGUUAUGCUGAUACAAGAGGUGGGUUCCCACGGGCAGCUCCACCCCUGUGACUUUACAGGGUAUAGCCCCCCUCCUGGCUGCUUUCAUAGGCUGGCGUUGAGUGUCUGCGGCUUUUCCUAGUGCAUAGAACAAACUGUAGGUGGAUCUACCGUUCUGGGAUCUGGAGGAUGAUAGCCCUCUUUUCACAGCUCCACUAGGUAGUGUCCCAGUGAGGACUCUGUGUGAGAGCUCUGACUCCACAUUUCACUUCUGCACUGCCCUAGUAGAGGUUUUCCAUGACGGCCCCGCCCUUCCAGCAAACCUUUGCCUGGGCAUCCAGGUGUUUCCGUACAUCUUCUGAAAUCUAGGUGGAGGUUCGCAAACCUCAAUUCUUGACUUCUGUGCACCCGAAGUCUCAACAGCACGUGAAAGCUGCCAAGGCUUGGGGCUCCCACCCUCUGAAGCCACAGCCCGAGCUGUACAUUGGCUCAUUUCAGCCACAGCUAGAGGGGCUGGGACACAGGGCACUAAGUCCCUAGGCUGCACACAGCACAGGGAUGCUGGGCCCAGCCCACGAAAUCACUUUUCCCUCUUGGGACUCUGGGCCUGUGAGGGAGGGGCUGCCAUGAAGAUCUCUGACAUGACCUGGAGACAUUUUCCCCGUGGUCUUGGCGGUUAACAUUGGUCUCCUUGAUACUUAUGCAAAUUUCCGCAGCCAGCUUUAAUUUCUCCUCAGAAAAUGGGUUUUUCUUUUCUAUCACAUUGUCAGGCUGCAAAUUUUCCAAACUUUUAUUCUCUGCUUCCCUUAUAAAACUGAAUGUCUUUAACAGUACCCAAGUUACCUCUUGAAUGCUUUGCUGCUUAGAAAUUUCUUCCACCAGAUACCCUAAAUCAUCUCUCUCAGGUUCAAAGUUCCACAAAUCUCUAGCGUGCAGGCAAAAUGCCACCAGUCUCUUUGCUAACACCUAAUAAGAGUCACUUUUGCUGCACUUCCCAACAAGUUCCUCAUCUCCAUCUGAGACCACCUCAGCCUUGUCUUUAUUGUCCAUAUCGCUAUAAGCAUUUUGGGCAAAGCCAUUCAACAAGUUUCUGGGAAGUUCCAAACUUUCCCACAUUUUCCUGUCUUAUUCUGAGCCCUCCAAACUGUUCCAACCUCUGAGUCGCUUCCACAUUUUCUGGUAUCUUUUCACCAGUGCCCCACUCUACUGGUACCAAUUUACUGUAGUCCAUUUUCAUGCUGCUGAUAAAGACAUAUCCGAGACUGGGAAGAAAAAGAGGUUUAAUUGGACUUAUAGUUCCACACAUCUGGGGAGGCUUCAGAAUCAUGGCCCGAGGCAAAAGGCACUUUUUACAUGGCAGCAGCAAGAGAAAAAUGAGGAAGAAUCAAAAGCAGAAGCCCCAGAUAAGCCCAUCAGAUCUCGUGAGACUUAUUCACUAUCAUGAGAAAAGCACAGGAAAGACCAGCCCCCCUAAUUCAAUUACUUCUCACUGGGUCCUUCCCACAACAUGUGGGAAUUCUGGGAGAUGCAAUUCAAGUUGAGAUUUGAGUGGGGACAUAACCAAAUCAUAUCAGCAAGUUUCAGUAUAACAUAUGCACUUUGAUAACAUCUGUGUAACAACUUGUGUAAGUUUUAAAAAAUUUUAGGUGCAUAAAAUAUUUUGUUGACAUGUACAUUCAUAGAUAUAACUGCAAGAAUUCAUAUUAAAUUCAUUAAAUGGCUGAUUCUGAAGAGGUGAGAAUGGAAAUAAGAUUGGGGUUAGAAGACUAAGAAGCUUUCAAGUUUAUAUUUAAUGUUGCACUAAAGAAAAUGUUUAAUGAUAUGUAUGUUCUUGUAUACUCCAAUUUAUUGAUGAAUAUGAGACUCAGAACUUGUGACUUGCUCAAAUACAUGGAGUUACAAAACAGUAGAACUAGAAAUCAAACUCAUAUUCUAAAGUGUUUUAUUUAACUUUGGCCAACCAAGAGUUUGCUAUAUAGAUAUAAGCUAUGUAAAAGUAGUUAGAAAAGAAGAUUAAUAAUAUGAAAAUAUAAUCUCCAUUUACCUCAAAAACUUUCCCUAUCAAUUUAUCUAUUAUGUCAUGCAACAAUAUAUAUAGAACAAUGAUUUCAUACCAGCUAUUAUGUUUAAACGCUAGAAGUAGGUUGAGAUUCUAGUGAAGUCUGAGUUCAUGACUCCUGGUUUACAAAACCAGGGCUCUAACCACCAUCAGCAAAGGGAGCUUUUAAAGCUAACAAAUUGUUCAUUGUUUGAGCUUCUGGAAGAAAAGUUUUAUAAAUCUGACAAGAAAUUAUCUUUACACAUAUCAUUCCUUUUAAUAGUGUAAUAAUAAUUUCAAGCAUUAUUAUUGCUAUUACUGUCUGUAAUUAUGUAAUAAUUGUGAUGCCUCAUUUCUAACUCUCCAGAGAGAAGGGAAAAAAAAUCCACUGGGAAGAUGAUGAGGGAGAUUAAACCAAAUGGUCUUGAUAAAUUUUCUAUUGUAAUUUUAAACAAAGCCCUAGAUACCAUCUGACUAAUUGCAGAUAUUUCUGGAAAGCUUGAAGGUCUCCGAAUAAUUAGGUUGGGAAGAGGGAGGAAAUCAGUUAGGAAGCUGAUAUCUCCCUGGACACUGUUAAAAACUGGCAACUGGCCUGCAGACCAUGGUGGUGCUGACAGUGUGAGCACCAGGCAGCCCAUCUUGGAGGCUAAUUUCGUCUCAGAAGCAAUGGUGUGUCCAUUCCAUUUGGUAAAGCAUUUUGGCUGUGAGAAGCAUUCUGAAAUAAAAGGUUCAUAGGGAGCGGAAAAAGGAAACUUGAAAUUAAGUUUAAAAUAUAUUUGUUAUAAUCUGUACAAACAACAGUUUUAUGUGCACUAACCAAAAUGCUCUGUCAUUCUUCAUCAGCAACCGUUACACUCCAAUUCCGUGCUAAAGAGUAAAAAGGUGUCUGGGGAACUGAUAAAUCUUUAUUUGCCUCAUUAAGUCUGCUCAAAACAAAACAAAACCAAAGUUGAUAAAGGCAUCCUAAGAAGAUCUGGCUAUCAUUAUGAUUUUCAUCCAACAAAACAAAUCUGACAUAGUAAAAGGAGCAUUAAUAGAAGUGUUUUUAAAUUUAAGAAAUUUAAAAUGAUGAGAUGAUAAUAUCUAUAUUGGCAGAAGGCAAGAUAUAUUUUAGCUGUAAGAUCUAACAGGAAAACUGUUCUCCAUCACCAAAAUGCUUCAUUUCUUUAUUUGAAAUUCUGAAUUUCUUGCUUGGAUCUAUUUUUUUAUUCCUGAUGAGAAUAUUGAUAUCAGCUUUUAUAACAGCCAUAGAAGAAUGAUAUAAAAAUCUGGCUUUUAUACUCAAAGGUUUCAAUAUGUGCUUUAGCCUACAUUCUAGAUUCUUCAUGUUUCAAUGUAGAUGUAUUAAUUUUCUAGAGCUGCCAUAGCCAACAGUCACAAAAUGGGUGGCUUAAAACAACAGAAAUGUAUUCUGUCACAAUUCUGGGGCUAGAUGUCUGAAAUCAAGAUGUCAGUAAGGCCUUACUUCCUCUGGAGUCUUUAGGAUAGACCCCUCCAAUGCCUUUCCCCAGCACCUGGUAGCUGCCAGUAAUCUUCAGCAUCCCUUGGCUUACUGUUACAUCACCCCAGGCUCUGCCUCCAACCUGGCAUGGCAUUUCUACCUCUGUGUAUUUCCAAGUCUCCCUAUCCUUAGAAGGACACUAAUCAUUGGAUUUAGAGCCCACCCUAAUCCAUUAUAACCUCAUUUUAAUUUGAUUACAUCUGUAAAUAACCCAUUUCCAAAUAAACACACAUCCGCAAAUACCAGGAGUUAUGACUUGAAUGUAUCUUUUUAGGGGACGCAACUCAACCCAUUAUAGUAAAUUAAGUGCACAUCUCAUUCUCUGAAUCUAGGAGGCAGAAACAGAUGGGAAAUUAGCUGUCAGAACAAUAGUUACCUAUUCAACUUAAAAAAUAAUAAUAAUAGGGUUACAAGGAAGAAAAUCUUUCCAUAUGGUUAAACAAAACAAGAACAGACAUACAAUCCCAUGAAUCCUUGCAUCCUACCUAUAAUAAAGGUGAAUAGAAGUAUGUACAUGCAGGUCAAGCAGCAAGGUCCUAGCAGGUCUGAAAUAGUAUACUUAGACUAUGGAAAUAAAUGUGGGGUAUGGCAGUGGGGAAUAGGAAGGAGACUGGAAGCUUCUCUUCACCUCCAUCUUUCUUAGUAACAUCAUCAAAGAGGAUAUAACAUUAAAUUGUCUUCCUGUCUUUGGAAGCCUAUUCUCCCUCUGUCACUCUUCAAUGUGUUCUUUUAUAGAAUCCUACCCACAUUCACAGCUGGUGCAGUGAGAAAGCCCCUAGUCUUUCCUUCUGUCAGAGGAGGCAACUUGCUACUCACUUCUACCCAACCAGACCCACAUCUAUGCAUACCCACAAAUCUGUACCUUACAAAAUUAAACUACUGCCAGUUUGAAAUAAAAGAGUAUCUGGCAGUCUGCUCUAAGUCUUAUAAAAAAUUAUUAUUUUCUUUUUUCAUUCUGUUUUUUCUUGCAUUCAAAAUUGUAGAUCAAAAGAAAAAGACACUGGAAAGCUGCUUUGCCUACCUCUAGUGUCCUAAGGUUUGGCUCCACCAAAAGCUGAAGAAGCAAUAACACCACUUGCCAAUAUUUACAUAAUGCUCAUAUGAUGCUUGCAAACUUUACCAGGUACUCUUCUGAGUGUUUUAAUAUGUGGUAACUCACUUAGUCUGCUAAAAUCUUUGAGGUGGAUGCUCUAUUAUGCCCAUUUCACAGAAAAAGAAACUGAGGAGCACAGAGGUUACAUGUGCUGAUCAAAGUCAAGCAACUAACAAGUGUCAGGAUUGGGAUUCCAGUUCUUUUUCUCUGGCUUCAGAAUUCUUAAGUUCUUCUGAAUUUUAUUUUGUAUUAAAGAAAUAGUUCAGAGGAAAUUCUUCAAAUUCUGCAUGGCAAUACAAUAUCAGCUAUCAUUAAUAAACUAAUAAACAUAACUGCCUCUUCCUGGAUCUUUCCUGGGUGUUUAUUUCCUCAGGAGAUCUCAUAGAAGAUGCUAUAGUAGCUGAAAUUCAGUAUUCCUGUUUCUGGGUAUUUCUCAACCUCUUUACAUGAGUGACCCAGCCAAUAAGCUCCUUCAUGUCAUGUUGUAAAUAUCUGGGCACAGUUCUGCUCCAGACAAUCUUACUUACUUGCAUUUCCCACAAAGCCCCAAGAUCCACAGACUACUGUUCUUUGUCCAAGCUGUCCUCUUCCCUUAUAGGGUUCAUCACCCUUUCCUACUAAGCCUUCUUAGCUAACUCGUACUCAGAAUUCCAAGCUACAUCUAAAGUAUUACUUCCAUAUAAAUUCAUUUCCUGAUCCCUUUCACAAGACUUAGGUUCAGUAUAAUUCUUCUCUCCUGUGACUCUGUUUGGACCUACAGCAGCAGGCAUUCUUACCAGCCAAACAUUAAUUCUUUCUAAUAGAAUCUGGAAAUUAUUAAAGUAACCAACUCUGUCCAAAAAUCUAGAUACACAGGGAAAACUAACCCACCUCCAGCUCAAGAGAUGUACUUGAUUUUUCUAGAGUCAAUCGCAGUUCUGUAAAGUCUUGUGACUCAAAGCCAACCAGAUGUUAGAAUAAAUUUUUUGGGGUUUCUCCUAUGAGUGCUUCUGGAACCAACAUAUCUUUUCUUCCUCUGGACAUUGUUAGGCAUAAAAGUAAAUUCUAGAGCUAAUGUAACCAUUUCGUUACCAAUUUAAAGAUAGAGCUAAAUCACAGAGGAGAAAAGAGACUGUAGAAAUAGAGCUAAGGCCAUUGAUUAAGUCAACCCUGAAGCUGCUCAAUUUCUGAACCUCCUACUAUAAAUGGCAAUAUAUAUUUUUUAUUGCUUACUCCAGUUUGAAAUGUGUUUUUCUUUUAUUUCCAUCUGAAAGCACUUGAAGGAGUACAUUUACCAACCAUUUUUUGCAUACCUCUUUAAAAUUACUUUUUAAAUUGUUGAGCAAUCAACCAUGAGCUCCUUGAGAUUAGGAAUUAUGUUUUUGUUCUUUCUGUAUCCCCAGUACUUAAUUCAGGUUUGGUACAUGGUAAGAAUUUAGUAAAAA